UACGUAGGGUGCGAGCGUUGUCCGGAUUUAUUGGGCGUAAAGGGCGUGUAGGCGGCCCGGUAAGUCCGCUGUGAAAGUCGGGGGCUCAACCCUCGAAUGCCGGUGGAUACUGUCGGGCUAGAGUGCGGAAGAGGCGAGUGGAAUUCCUGGUGUAGCGGUGAAAUGCGCAGAUAUCAGGAGGAACACCAAUGGCGAAGGCAGCUCGCUGGGACGGUAUUGACGCUGAGACGCGAAAGCGUGGGGAGCAAACAGG
rnacentral:rRNA from 1 species